UAUUUUAAUAUGGACUGAUGCCCCCAUAUUAAAUCCAAGCCUGUCGUCGCCAUAUUGAACCCUCUUCUCAAUCUCCCAUAUUAUCGCCUGUAGAUCUGUCC
rnacentral:misc_RNA from 1 species